UUUUUUUUUUUUUUUUACAUUUGCAAAGAUGGGGUUCCAAUAACAGUGUGAUGCCCAUGUAGCCUUCAGAAUAUUGCUCAGCUUUGCACACAGUUUGUCGUGCAGCUGGAAUUUCAAACUUGUUUACGGUUUCUUAACAUCUAUGCCUCCAACUCAAGAGUCCCGUGUUUAUUGGUAAUCAUUUGUGGUGGACAUUGCUUGAAUUCCAUGAAUUCUGGGUGCAGUAUUUCAGUUGUGAAUGUUGGUGUGUGUGUGUGUGUGUGUGUGUGUGUGUGUGUGUGUGUGUGUGUGUGCGCGUGUGCAUACUGUUCCAUGUCUUUGUCGUUUGUUGCAGUGUUAGUUUCAUGUUGGAUCUGUGGAAGAUGCACCGUAGCUUGAAAGGGUUUCUGGGAUGUUUGCCCAGGAAACAUUAACAGCGAUGGUAGUUGACCUGAUUUGCCCAAAUGGAAAUAUGACAUAUUUUAUUAGAAAAACCAUAUAUUUGCAUACAAGUCCUAAAAAAAUCUACAGAUAUCUUUUGAUAGUAAACUUUUGGCCUUUUUCAGUCUUUCUUUAGUGUUUAGUGGUGGAUUGGUGAUGGAUUGUUAUGCUGUGAGAUACUGCUAUUAUACAGUAUGAAGGACCGCCUCAAGCAUGAUGUCUGUUAUUCAGUUCAUUCCUUGUAAACCUUUGAGAUUGCUCCUUUAGAACAGCCUCUGCUGGUGUCUAGAUGACACUUGGUGGUUCUUCCUGUGUGGUUAACAAAGACAGACAGAUCUGGGCCCAUAUUUAUCAGCCUCCUCAUAGCAAACCAGUUCAAACAUUGCUGAAUAUUCUCUCACUAGCAAAUUUUUGGUCCUGCUUUCAGGUCUAGGAGGAGAACGUUUUAUUAACCUUCUUAGCCGAUGGAAUCACUCUGAACUAAUUAAUCUCAGCAACUCAAGUAACCUAAGUGUGAAUGCUAUUUUUUGCCCCUCAUGUUAAGAUCGUCAGUGCAAGUCUGGCAUGUUUUAUCAAUGCAAUCAAUAUUAACUUAUACCUUUGUUUACAUUUCCUGUUUGAAAGUCAUCCAGAUGGUGACAAAGAAACAUAAAUCAACCCCAAAGUGACGCAAAAUGACUAUAAUCAGAUCUAAAACGACUGCAACGUCAUGCAAAACAACUGCAAAAGACACAGAACCGCUACAAAGAGACAAAACUACUAUAAAGAGACACAACAUGACUUCAUAAAAUCACAAAACAACAAAGUGACACAAAAUGACUGUGAAGGGACGUUAAGUAAAAAGAAAUGCAUUGUAGAUGCAAAAUGACUACAAAGAAACAAAACAAGCAUAAAGUGACACAAAAAGACUGCAAUCAGACCUAAAAGUAUGACUAUAAAGAGAUGCAAAACAAAUAAGGUGCCACAAAAUACCACUAAAGGAUGCAAAAUAACACAGAGCUGUUAGAAAGUGAUGCAAAGCAGCCAUAGAAGGACUGCACAGUGACAGAAUCACCACACAGACACAAAAUGACUGGACAGGAGAUGACUGCAUAUGCCAUGGACGUGUCACUUGUUUUGCAUUUCUUUGAGCUGGAUGUUUGGUUCCUGAGGGGCCCAUUAUCUGAGUUACAAACAGCAGCUAUUAAUUGUUAGACUUCAAUCCUUUAACCUUGAUGCUGUAAUGUUUCUAAAUGUAGAACCCAUUAGGACUGUGGAUAUAUUUCCAUAUGGGUGCAGCCUCUGGUCAUGUUCAGACAUGAUGAGGCUGGAGCUGGGAUGGAAGCAGUGCGGAGGUAUUAAAAGGGAAACGGUUAUUGUAAUAUUCUCCUAUUUUUGGCUUUCCUCACAGCUUUGAACUGUCCUACUUUUUACAGAAAAAGAAGUGCCUGUACCUUUUUUUGUUUCAUGAGCCCACUGAGUUGUUGAUGUGCUUUCCUGUGAGUUUACCAAAAUGUGAAACUUGAUUUGUGCGGUGUAUUUUUUUAAAUUAUCUUUAAUAUCGUUGUCUUUUAUGAAGCCCCUUUACUAGGUGUGAUACAAUUUAAGUGACUAAGAAUGUUUUGCAUACAUAAAACUAGUGAAUGUCAACAGUGUUAUUUUAUUGAAGAUGAGGCCAGAACAUUGGUAACAUCUUCAUCCAAACACGUGCAGCAUGUUUUUAAACCUCCCAACGGAUACUGACACCUCUCUGUGCAUGAGAAGUCUCAGAAGUUAAACAUAUCUAAAUAAUAUAUAGAUUGUAUUUAUUGAAGAAAAGCAUUAUAAGUUGAGAGCGUUUAAAAGCAUGUGUUGCUUUGUUUGGCUGAAGAUGUGUUUGCAGUCUGACCUCAGCAGGUUGCAGCUUUUUUGCUUUCUGGUUAUUACAGAAACAUUUCUUCUUAUUCUUCUUUAGAAUACGUUCUUAUUGUUGCACAUUAUGUAAACUGCAUUUUGCAUGUGUGACCGCGGCCUCAAAUAUAUCCGCUGCUACGUUUAUUCGACCCCACAGCGUGUCCUGAUAGAAGCAGCCGUGCAGCAGAUGUUCGUCUUUUCUCCUAAAGUGUGUGACCUGAUGUGGGCCAGACUCCAGAGCGAUUCAUUACAAAAGGGCUUCACAUUUCAUUUCCUUCAACUAAAUGUCACACACAGACACACUUGCAUCCAUGUUUUCUGCCCUGCUUAUAGCUUGAACUGUUUUAUAGAUUGGACAGAAACCUUCGCCAGACUCCAGCUGGGGAACGUUUGAGCCGGUUGAUGUUAUGCUGUAUCAGCGAUACUGACCUGUAGGUAAUGCCACACUGCCUCACUGUUAUUAAAACAGAACAAACAUGUCGAUGUGAUGUGUAUCUCAAAUAACACUUCAGAACUGUCAAGCCGAACCAGAUCGGUUUGAGGUUUGAUUUAUUUACAUAUCUCUCUCUCUGUUUGUGGAUCUCUAAAGCCCAUGUUGAGAUUAAGAUGAAGAGCUUUCAUCUGUAGCAAUGACAUAAAACUGCAGUCUUACUUGUUGUUCUCUCUGCUACAUUGUGUGGAUAGUAAGUUGUGUGUUAGUAACUCUUUGUACUACAGGAAAAUUGUUCCAUAUUUGUAUUUAAUUUUGAUUUAUUAAAGGUUUUAAGAUGCCCACUAUGCAAA
ensembl:lncRNA